CCAGUAGGCGUGGCCAGAAGACCAUCUGGUAGGCCCAACAGCAACCAGAGUUCAGGCCAAGGCCCCCGUGGUAGGAAGGAGUUCAAGGAACAGCAAGAAACAGCAAGAAAUCCUACCUCACCAUUGAUUGGCUGUGUGAUUUGGGGCAAGAGGCUUAACCUGUCAAACUCAGUUUCCUCAGUUAUGAGAUUCAGAUGAGACAAUGUACGUGGAAGAGUUCUGCAGUUAUUCAAUUGUAAAAACCUAAGGGUUGAACCAAGAACCUGCCACUGAACAAAGAGUGAGACAGAGCCUGAGAUGUAUAAUCUGCAGCUGAAGUGACAAGGAUAACAGCUGGUGUUUAUUGAGCGACUACUAUGUGCUGGGUACUGUUCUAAACAUUACACUUUGCUCACUUUUUUUUUACCCCUUUCUCUGUGUGUGUGUGUUCAUGUGUGUGUUACUGGGAUCUGAACCCAGGGGCACUUUACCAUUGGGUUACAUCCCCAGUCCUUUUUAUUUUUUAUUUUUUAGGUAGGGUCUUGAUAAGUUGCCCAGGCUGGCCUUGAAUUUGUCAUCCUCCUGCCUCAGUCUCCCAAAUCACUGGGAUUAGAGGCCAGGGCCACUGCACCUGGCUAUACCAUGCUCAUUUAAUCCCUACAAUAGCCCCUGAGUGGCAGAUGCUAUCUUCAUUUUACAGAUGUCUUCAGCCCUGCGGGGUCUUGUGCCCACACAGAGCACGAGCACAUGCUGAAGGACCUGAAAGACCUGCCCUAGAGGUGGUUCAGCGUUGACUGUCACAUCUGGAAGCCAGUUGUGGCCCUCAGCAGAAGGCACGGAAGGAUGUCAAAGUCUCCAGGCUGGAGCCCAAGUCAACCUCAAUGGCCGCUUCCACCAGCCCUCUGCUGCAGAUGCCUUCCUCGCUGUCACCAGAUGAUCGCGGCUCCUAUUUUAUGGAGAAGUGAAAUGAGAACUGUGCCAGCCGCUCUGUCCUCACCAGCUCUCAUCUCCGGCUUCUCUAACUGCCAUGGGCCAUCACCCCAGAGGCAGAGGCUGACUCGGGCCCAGGCUGACUCCUGCGCCCUCCUGGACAGUCCUUCCCGUUUCCUCUUGACCUGUUCCAUGGCUUAGCCCCUCUCCUGCACCGCCAACUUCCCUGUCCAAGGACCCUCUGUUCAGUGUUCAAAAACACACUAGGUCUCCCACGGGGUGGGGACCUGCCAACCUCGGACCACUUCCUCUUCACUCCUGCAGUCCACGCUCAAGUUUCUUGAAAGAGCUGUUGACACCCAGUCUGACUUCCCCCUCCACUGCUUUUUCACCUACUUGUCUGCUGCCACAGAGACUUGCCAUCGCCAAGGCCACCAACCAUCUCCUGAUCACACAUCAAACACAUUUUGGCGGCCACCUGAAGCUGCUGACCGCUCCCUCCCUCUGAACACCUCUCUUUGGAAUCUAACAGGGACCUGCUCUCCCCCGUCCUCUUCCUCUCUCCAGCUUUCUCUCUUGAUCCCCUUCAGGGCAUCUCUUCUCUUGCUGGACAGGUCAAGGGUCAAGUCGCCCCUUCCCCAGGCACCCCCACCAGCCACCCUGUCUCAUCCACAUCUGCUGAACAACUCCCCGCCUGCCUCUGGGGCCCAGAUCUGCCCCUGUGCUUCUGGCUUCUGACCCACACGCCCCAUUGCUGGCUCCCAAGGUGGACACUCUCCCAGCCCUAUUCUGGGGUUUGAGGAGUGCCCCACCGGCAAUUGUCACAGCCUAACUAUUUCUAUCACUUCUGUCACAUUCUGUUGGUAAAACACUUGCAGGACUGUCCUCGAGUCCAUGGGGAGGGGACCGUUGUUAUGGACAGUUGCAAAGAUAUGAAGCUGUCUCUGACCCACCACGGAGGACAGGCAGGUGAUGUGGUUGUCUGAUACAGAGUGACCUUCGUCGCCAUGCAGGAAUGUCAAACCUGAUUUCCCAAGAUAAAUUAAAGCUAUGGAUUUUCAUGUGAAA